UUUGGUAUUAGUAGUGUAGAUGGAACCACAUUGAUCCAUAUCGAACUCAAUAGUGAAACAUUAUAAAUCGGCAAAAAUACUUGGAAAGGUAUUUCCUGGAAAAAUAGCUCAAUGCCAAAG
rnacentral:rRNA from 1 species